rnacentral:rRNA from 1 species
UACGUAGGGGGCGAGCGUUGUCCGGAGUUACUGGGCGUAAAGCGCUUGUAGGCGGUCCACCAAGUUUGGGGUGACAGUUGCCGACUUAAUCGGCAAAGUGCCUCAAAGACUGGCGGACUUGAGGGCCACAGAGGGACAUGGAACUCCAGGUGUAGUGGUGAAAUGCGUAGAUAUCUGGAGGAACACCUGCGGUGUAGACGGCUUUCUGGACCAUUGCUGACGCUGAGACACGAAAGCGUGGGUAGCAAACAGG